rnacentral:misc_RNA from 1 species
CGUUUCGCGGUUCCUAAGCGGCAAACACGUCCUUCCGCGUCUUUUACAGUUUUUCAAACUCGAUAUAUUCGUUUUCGUGUUGUUGUUGUUGAAUCUAAUUAUUAUUAAUUAAAUUUGUCCAGCAUAGCACACACGUCCACGCCAUCCGACAAAUGCGUUUUCCAGAGUCUGGAGACGACGUACGAUGACAACAGUAGCCCCCGGCGCGGCUACCGAUACCGCUGCCGUACCAAUCGUCACCACUGCAGCCUCCAACGGCAAGGGACACAUCUUGCACGACGGUCCAGCGUAUUCGUUGGCGCUCAAUAAAGAGCACACGCACGUGGUGGUUGCCGGUAGAAAUGUUUUUAAGGUAUUUCUCAUCGAACAGGGAGGCUUCAAAGAAUGUGUCAACUUGCGUUGUGGCAAAACAUCAAGUGUGCAGAGUUCGUCGAGCAUGGAUGUAGCUUGGAACCCGGCAGAUGACAAUGUUUUGGCGACAGCUACAACAGGUGGUGCGGUAGUCACGUGGAACUUGAAUAGAUCAUCCAGGAACAAACAAGACCAUAUUUUUUAUGACCAUCGAAGAACUGUAAACAAAGUUACAUUUCAUUGUGUUGAACCCAACCUGCUGAUGUCAGGUUCUCAAGAUGGGACAAUAAAAUGUUUUGAUUUGAGACUAAAAGAAGCUCCUAAAACUUAUUCCAGUGAUUCAGAAAGUAUUAGAGAUGUUCAAUUUAGUCCUCACAACAAUUAUGUAUUUGCUGCAGCUUCGGAAAAUGGUAGCAUUCAAAUAUGGGAUACCAGAAAAGCCGAAAAAUGUCUAAAUAAGUUUUCUGCACAUAAUGGACCAGUAUUUUCUUGUGAUUGGCAUUCGGAGCUUCAAUUUCUAGCAACUGCCAGUCGUGACAAGACUAUCAAAGUUUGGAACGUUACAAAUAAACCUAUUGCUGAGUACACGAUUAGCACUAUUGCCCCAGUCGGACGAGUUAAGUGGCGGCCAUAUCGUAGGUAUCAUUUGGCAUCUAGUGCUUUAGUUCUAGACUCUGCCAUUAAUGUUUGGGACGUACGCAGGCCUUAUAUUCCUUAUGCAUCAUUUGCUAAACAUACGGAUGUAGCUACUUGUAUUGCUUGGAAAGGAGAUCCUUUUGUACUUUUAUCCACAAAUCGAGAUAGUACUUUGCAUCAAAAUUUUAUAAGUGAAGCAGACUUGCCUUUAGAAAGUGCUAACCAACAAGGUAUGGCUAUUAAUAGAGAUGGUGAUCUUGUAUUUUGUUGCCCAGUUAAUUUAAACAAAGUAGAAAUUCAAAAGUCUAAAGAAAGUUCUAGAAAGACUUCAACUACAACUAGUGGCGAAGAAGAAUUAAACACAUCAAGUGAGAUGAAUGUAUUUCGUGAUCCAAAAAUUGUUAUGUGUUUAUCUGAUGAAGCAGAGUGUAUCCAAACAUGUGCUAUCCAAUAUAAACUUAUAGGAAGAUCAAUAGGAGAACUCUGUGAACACAAUGCUGGUGUUGCUUCCAGUGUUGGAAGAACAACUGUUUUUUUGCUGUGGAAUGUCCUAAGAAUACUGUAUGAUCACCGUGUAUCUCUUAUUGCUCUAAAAGAAGAUAUUAUGAGCAGCUCAAACAUUGAUAGCAGCUUUGAUGGGGAGAACCAGAUUGGUUCCCUCAGCGAUGAAGAUGGUUUCAGAGGAGAUAGACCUUACCAGUUGGGAGAUUUCUAUUUUGGCAAUGCUGAAAUUGAUCCUUUAGAUGCUGAACAUGAUCAAUUUGACUUCAUAGGUUUACAGAUGGAUAGCAAAACUGUGGAAGAGGACAAUGAUUGGGAAGUACCUGUAGAAUCAAUAACUUUAAGACAUGAAAUUAUACAUGAACCAAUUGUUAACGAUCCUUAUAUACAUAACUCAGCACCUUUAGCAAACAAAUUAAAUAACCGCAUAACCUCUGCACCACUAUUGCGAAUAACUUCUCCAGCUAAAUUUGACAUGUGGAAUCCUUCAGAAAUUGUUGUUAAAGCUCUUCGUCAUCAUGUUGAUGAAGGUGAUGUACAAACAGCGGUUUGUGCAUUAAUUGUUUUAAGUGAUGAAAUCAGAAGUGAACUAACUAAUCCUAGACAUUCUUGGCGUCUUUUACAUGGCGAAAUAGAAUCAUGGUGGUUAAAUUAUCUUGAAUUACUUAAAAAAUUCAAAUUGUGGUCAUGUGCUACAACGGUAAUCCAACUCUCACGCAUUCGUAGCAUAUUACAACUGCAUCGAACUUCCACUUCAGUUUAUUUGACGUGUGGAUGGUGUUAUAAAGGUUUGACACGAAAUAAUCGACGCUGCUAUAAUUGUCAACAUUCUGAAUGUGCUAGGUGCGCAUUAUGCCAAAGGAUUGUACGUGGAAUGUAUGCAUGGUGUAGAGGAUGUGCACAUGGUGGCCACAUAGGACACAUGAAGCAAUGGUUUAUGGAAAACAAAUACUGUCCAACUGGAUGUGGACACAAGUGUGAAUAUUGAUCUCAAUACAAUGUAUUGAAUCUGCUCAUAUACAAUCUAAAAAAAACAUACCUAAAUUCCAUUGUUGAUUGGAAACUAUCAUCUUCUGUAAUGGAAAACACGCACAAAAAUCCUUCACCACUUCGAAAAUAAUUGUCACGAAUGGCAGCAUAAUCUUCUUGGCCAGCAGUGUCCAAUAUAUCAAUUUGGACUUCUUCACCAUCCAAGACUACUUUUUUACGGUGCAAAAUCAAAGUAUAAAAGGGCAUACGGUGCUGUAGUCCGUGCCUGCAUCUGCAGUGACAACCUCAGAGACGCACUACUAGUCAGCUGUGGCCUCGGAGUGAUGAUACGACCAUCAUACCAAUGAUAGAUAUUCAUAUAUUAUAUAAAUAUAUGCCUUCGUGGAAGUACAGUGGGUAGGUCUGAUUUUUAGACAAGAAAACCAUUUUUCUCUAUUUGACGCGGCCAAAUCUAAAGAUACAAAAAUUUGUUUUCUUUAUUUAACUUAUAAUUAAUUUAAAUUACAUUUUUAAUAUUGAAUUGAAUUAUUAAUUUUGGUUUAAAUAUUACUGUUAAAGUUGAAAGUUUACACUGUAAACAAUUUUGUUUAUUGCAAUCCGUUUUGAUUUCUUGAAACUCUAUUACUACCAGGGUCAUAACUUUGAAUUAACUCUGCGUAUACUUUUUAUGAUAUCACAUAACAUUAAAAUAUAAUUAAGUAUACCUACUUAUAUUGUAGUACACGGAAUAAUUAAUUUAACCUACACGCUAAUUUCUUCGCUCAAUUUUUGUGAUUUGUGAAGUAUG